CUGCCAUGUAUGGGGUGCCUUACUUUUCAGGCUGAGAUCACACCCACAGAACCUGGACCAGGUAAUGCUGGUUAGGAAUUUGAAAAAAAGAAAAC
rnacentral:ncRNA from 1 species